rnacentral:tRNA from 1 species
GGGCGUAUAACUCAGUGGCUAGAGUGCUAUCCUCACACGAUAGAAGUCCAUGGUUCAAAUCCAUGUACGCCCAC